UCAAUUGCACAGUCUGAUGAUGAUGCACCAGAGGAAGAUGUGUACGACCGGUAUUUUGAAGCAGAGUCAGCAGACGUAACGGUCAGCGAGGCGGCAGAGUGGACCAACUAUAUAGCUGCCCUUGCUAAAUUCCCAGCAUGCCGAAUUCAUCAAGAAAACCUGACAAAUCGUCUUAUGUCUGACGUAGAUGGAAAAGGGAGACUAGAGGAGCAGCCAUGCAGACAACCUUGGUGAAGGAUCUGUGACCUCCAGGAUUUCAAUGGAAGGUCAUUGUGUGUGUCGCUUGAAUCGGGAAACAUAGGGAUUAAGCGAACUGACAAAAUUUGUUUGACCUAGACUUCAUUGUUAUUGACCAAGAGGGCAACAAAAUGGAAGGCUGCACCCCAACCAAUCGAAUUGACCAGUUCAGACAUAAAGAAAAGGAAGGUUUGAUAUACAGGUUCGAGUCGUUUAUUGUUGCCGCCGUGUGGAGCAAAUACAGGGAAACAGAUCAUACAUGUAGAAUUGAAAUUACCCAAAGCAGAGGUUAAUGAUUCGAUUCCUCAGCCCGAAAACUUUCUUCUGUUCGCAUGUAAAGCAAUUUCAUUUGAUGCUCUGCAGUCACGCGUAGGGGGACACUACCGUUCUGUCAGGUUUUCAGUGAAUGGUACAUGUAUGUAAAUUGCUCCAAAACAUUUUGGAUCGCCAAAUAUUUUUUUCCUUCCACACCAUUUUCUGCAUCAGAUACUUAACCGGUAAGUGAUUUGUAUCUUUUCUUGCUUUCUUCAGUCAAAGAAGUGACAUUUUUGUUUGCUUCAGUUAGCUAGAUAAGCGACUAUUUUUCCGAUUACCUAUUAGUGGUGGAAAUAUUUCCCCUCUUUUCGGAUGAAAGAAAGUUAAAACGCCAUUGAGUGGUUUUAUUCCAAUAUCUGAAAUUUGUUAUAUUAGCUUGGGAGCAUGAACUGGAGUACAAAUGUAGUCAGGUCUACUCCACGUUAUGUAUUCUUUGUUCUUAGAUAAGGGAUAAAUAAUUGCUCUGUUCGUUAUUAUGACUUCUGAUAAAUUCAUUCUUUUACUUCACGCCAUGGUGAUAUUUUUCUUACUGGCUAAUGUUGUCAUAGACAUAGAUAAAUGAUACAUAACCGCUCCAUUUUCUUAUUCUGAAUUCUGAGAAAUUCAUUCUUUACUCCACACAGUGGCAAUGUGUUUCUUACUGGCUGAUGUUGUCAUAUGCAAGAAAUGUUUAAUGAGUUGAAAAAUUAAUCUGAGAACCUUCCACUUCCAUUGUUUUAUGUUUGACAAGCAGGACAUGGUUUUAGUAUAUGAAAUUUGUAUAAAAGAGCUUAGAUCUAUAAUUUAGUUCAUGCAAAUGAAAUCAAGGUGUUGCUACUGUUGAAGGGAGUACAGCAACUCUUCUCUUUAAUCACAAUGGUCUUGCUUGAUCUAAAACUUGAGUUUCAAUGUCACUGGGAAUAUUUUUUAGUUGUCGUUAAGGGAACUAUUUAGUUGUGCAUAUGGGGAGUGCUACUAACUAGACUUUGCUAGGAAUGAAAUAUCAAGACUUACGAAGAUGGUGAUAACUAACAAAAUUUUGCAAUAUUUUAAUGACUCGAUAUCAAAUCAAAUAUUAGCAUGGUUUGUUAAAAAGUGUGUAGAAGUUUUUCAGUUGCUUACGGUCGAAUGUUCAUUGUUGAGAGGCAAAGGCCAGUUGGAAUUUUCUUCAGGUAGCCAUCAGACAAUGUGACAACUAAUGACUACCUAAGGUUGUUUUGGUAAUCUCCUAUUGACCUAUGGUCAUCAAAAUUAUGUUUAGUUUUUUUUAACAGGGUGUAGUUUUAUCGUUCAUCGCCUUGAAGUCACCUUGCCGCCGACCACACGACAACACAGGUGAAGUGCGGCUAUUUCAUCCCGUGUCCGGCCAUACAGUUCACCCUUCUGGACUGCUAACUCGCGCGCUUCGGCCAGACAACCUCAAGCUGCAAGUCAAUUUCCUCUUCACCAAUUAAUUUCUACGUUUUAAAAUCUCUAUUGUUCAGUAGAUGGAAGACAUCAUUGCUGGUUCUGAAAGAUUGGCGCAAAAACUUCACAAAUCUUAGGUACUCUGAUUGUGAUUUUGGUGCUCAACGAGCCUUUGUUGUUAUGCCUAUAAGAA